UGGGGAAUUUUGGACAAUGGGCGAAAGCCUGAUCCAGCAAUGCCGCGUGUGUGAAGAAGGCCUUCGGGUUGUAAAGCACUUUUGUCCGGAAAGAAAUCCUUGGCUCUAAUACAGUCGGGGGAUGACGGUACCGGAAGAAUAAGCACCGGCUAACUACGUGCCAGCAGCCGCGGUAAUACGUAGGGUGCAAGCGUUAAUCGGAAUUACUGGGCGUAAAGCGUGCGCAGGCGGUUUGCUAAGACCGAUGUGAAAUCCCCGGGCUCAACCUGGGAACUGCAUUGGUGACUGGCAGGCUAGAGUAUGGCAGAGGGGGGUAGAAUUCCACGUGUAGCAGUGAAAUGCGUAGAGAUGUGGAGGAAUACCGAUGGCGAAGGCAGCCCCCUGGGCCAAAUACUGACGCUCAUGCACGAAAAGCGUGGGGAGCAAACAGGAUUAGAUACCCUGGUAGUCCACGCCCUAAACGAUGUCAACUAGUUGUUGGGAUUCAUUUCCUUAGUAACGUAGCUAACGCGUGAAGUUGACCGCCUGGGGAGUACGGUCGCAAGAUUAAAACUCAAAUGAAUUGACGGGGUCAUAGCUGUUUCCU
rnacentral:rRNA from 1 species